rnacentral:rRNA from 1 species
UACGUAGGGUGCAAGCGUUAAUCGGAAUUACUGGGCGUAAAGCGUGCGCAGGCGGUUUUGUAAGUCAGAUGUGAAAUCCCCGGGCUUAACCUGGGAACUGCGUUUGAAACUACAAGGCUAGAGUGUGGCAGAGGGGGGUGGAAUUCCACGUGUAGCAGUGAAAUGCGUAGAGAUGUGGAGGAACACCGAUGGCGAAGGCAGCCCCCUGGGGUAACACUGACGCUCAUGCACGAAAGCGUGGGGAGCAAACAGG